rnacentral:rRNA from 1 species
UACGAAGGGGGCUAGCGUUGCUCGGAAUCACUGGGCGUAAAGGGUGCGUAGGCGGGUCUUUAAGUCAGGGGUGAAAUCCUGGAGCUCAACUCCAGAACUGCCUUUGAUACUGGCGACCUUGAGUCCGGGAGAGGUGAGUGGAACUGCGAGUGUAGAGGUGAAAUUCGUAGAUGUUCGGAAGAACACCAGUGGCGAAGGCGGCUCACUGGCCCGGUACUGACGCUGAGGUGCGAAAGCGUGGGGAGCAAACAGG